rnacentral:rRNA from 1 species
CCCGCUGAACUUAAGCAUAUCAAUAAGCGGAGGAAAAGAAACCAACAGGGAUUGCCUCAGUAACGGCGAGUGAAGCGGCAACAGCUCAAAUUUGAAAUCUGGCUCUUUUAGGGUCCGAGUUGUAAUUUGUAGAGGAUGCUUCGGCGUCGGCUCCGGUCUAAGUUCCUUGGAACAGGACGUCAUAGAGGGUGAGAAUCCCGUAUGUGAUCGGUUGCCCUUGCCAUGUGAAGCUCCUUCGACGAGUCGAGUUGUUUGGGAAUGCAGCUCUAAAUGGGAGGUAAAUUUCUUCUAAAGCUAAAUACUGGCCAGAGACCGAUAGCGCACAAGUAGAGUGAUCGAAAGAUGAAAAGCACUUUGGAAAGAGAGUCAAAAAGUACGUGAAAUUGUUGAAAGGGAAGCGCUUGCAACCAGACCUGCCUGCAGUUGCUCAUCCGGGCUUUUGCCCGGUGCACUCUUCUGCUGUCAGGCCAGCAUCAGUCCGGGCGGUCGGAUAAUGGCUCGGGGAAUGUGGCACUCUUUCGGGAGUGUGUUAUAGACUCGAGUCGAAUGCGACGGUCGGGACUGAGGAACUCAGCACGACCUUAGGGUUCGGGACUUCGGUCCACGUUUGCGUGCUUAGGAUGCUGGCAUAAUGGCCUUAAGCGACCCGUCUUGAAACACGG